rnacentral:tRNA from 1 species
GGGCGUGUGGUCUAGUGGUAUGAUUCUCGCUUUGGGCGUUCGAGAGGCCCUGGGUUCAAUUCCCAGCUCGCCCC